UUAAGCGACUAAGCGUACACGGUGGAUGCCCUGGCAGUCAGAGGCGAUGAAGGACGUGCUAAUCUGCGAAAAGCGCCGGCGAGGUGAUAUGAACCUUUGACCCGGCGAUGUCCGAAUGGGGAAACCCAGUGUGAUUCGUCACACUAUCGUUAACUGAAUACAUAGGUUAACGAGGCGAACCGGGGGAACUGAAACAUCUAAGUACCCCGAGGAAAAGAAAUCAACCGAGAUUCCCCCAGUAGCGGCGAGCGAACGGGGAGCAGCCCAGAGUCUGAAUCAGCUUGUGUGUUAGUGGAAGCGUCUGGAAAGUCGCACGGUACAGGGUGACAGUCCCGUACACGAAAACACACAGGUUGUGAACUCGAAGAGUAGGGCGGGACACGUGGUAUCCUGUCUGAAUAUGGGGGGACCAUCCUCCAAGGCUAAAUACUCCUGACUGACCGAUAGUGAACCAGUACCGUGAGGGAAAGGCGAAAAGAACCCCGGCGAGGGGAGUGAAAAAGAACCUGAAACCGUGUACGUACAAGCAGUGGGAGCACCUUCGUGGUGUGACUGCGUACCUUUUGUAUAAUGGGUCAGCGACUUAUAUUCUGUAGCAAGGUUAACCGUAUAGGGGAGCCGAAGGGAAACCGAGUCUUAACUGGGCGUUAAGUUGCAGGGUAUAGACCCGAAACCCGGUGAUCUAGCCAUGGGCAGGUUGAAGGUUGGGUAACACUAACUGGAGGACCGAACCGACUAAUGUUGAAAAAUUAGCGGAUGACUUGUGGCUGGGGGUGAAAGGCCAAUCAAACCGGGAGAUAGCUGGUUCUCCCCGAAAGCUAUUUAGGUAGCGCCUCGUGAACUCAUCUUCGGGGGUAGAGCACUGUUUCGGCUAGGGGGCCAUCCCGGCUUACCAACCCGAUGCAAACUACGAAUACCGAAGAAUGUUAUCACGGGAGACACACGGCGGGUGCUAACGUCCGUCGUGAAGAGGGAAACAACCCAGACCGCCAGCUAAGGUCCCAAAGUCAUGGUUAAGUGGGAAACGAUGUGGGAAGGCACAGACAGCCAGGAUGUUGGCUUAGAAGCAGCCAUCAUUUAAAGAAAGCGUAAUAGCUCACUGGUCGAGUCGGCCUGCGCGGAAGAUGUAACGGGGCUAAACCAUGCACCGAAGCUGCGGCAGCGACACUUAGGUGUUGUUGGGUAGGGGAGCGUUCUGUAAGCCGUUGAAGGUGUGCUGUGAGGCAUGCUGGAGGUAUCAGAAGUGCGAAUGCUGACAUAAGUAACGAUAAAGCGGGUGAAAAGCCCGCUCGCCGGAAGACCAAGGGUUCCUGUCCAACGUUAAUCGGGGCAGGGUGAGUCGACCCCUAAGGCGAGGCCGAAAGGCGUAGUCGAUGGGAAACAGGUUAAUAUUCCUGUACUUGGUGUUACUGCGAAGGGGGGACGGAGAAGGCUAUGUUAGCCGGGCGACGGUUGUCCCGGUUUAAGCAUGUAGGCGGAACGAUUAGGUAAAUCCGGUCGUUUAUUAACGCUGAGGUGUGAUGACGAGGCACUACGGUGCUGAAGUAACAAAUGCCCUGCUUCCAGGAAAAGCCUCUAAGCAUCAGGUAACACGAAAUCGUACCCCAAACCGACACAGGUGGUCAGGUAGAGAAUACCAAGGCGCUUGAGAGAACUCGGGUGAAGGAACUAGGCAAAAUGGUGCCGUAACUUCGGGAGAAGGCACGCUGAUAUGUAGGUGAAGCCCCUGCGGGUGGAGCUGAAAUCAGUCGAAGAUACCAGCUGGCUGCAACUGUUUAUUAAAAACACAGCACUGUGCAAACACGAAAGUGGACGUAUACGGUGUGACGCCUGCCCGGUGCCGGAAGGUUAAUUGAUGGGGUUAGCGGCAACGCGAAGCUCUUGAUCGAAGCCCCGGUAAACGGCGGCCGUAACUAUAACGGUCCUAAGGUAGCGAAAUUCCUUGUCGGGUAAGUUCCGACCUGCACGAAUGGCGUAAUGAUGGCCAGGCUGUCUCCACCCGAGACUCAGUGAAAUUGAACUCGCUGUGAAGAUGCAGUGUACCCGCGGCAAGACGGAAAGACCCCGUGAACCUUUACUAUAGCUUGACACUGAACACUGGUCCUUGAUGUGUAGGAUAGGUGGGAGGCUUUGAAGCGUGGACGCCAGUCUGCGUGGAGCCAACCUUGAAAUACCACCCUUUAAUGGCUGGUGUUCUAACGUAGACCCGUAAUCCGGGUUGCGGACAGUGUCUGGUGGGUAGUUUGACUGGGGCGGUCUCCUCCCAAAGAGUAACGGAGGAGCACGAAGGUUAGCUAAUCCUGGUCGGACAUCAGGAGGUUAGUGCAAUGGCAUAAGCUAGCUUGACUGCGAGAGUGACGGCUCGAGCAGGUGCGAAAGCAGGUCAUAGUGAUCCGGUGGUUCUGAAUGGAAGGGCCAUCGCUCAACGGAUAAAAGGUACUCCGGGGAUAACAGGCUGAUACCGCCCAAGAGUUCAUAUCGACGGCGGUGUUUGGCACCUCGAUGUCGGCUCAUCACAUCCUGGGGCUGAAGUAGGUCCCAAGGGUAUGGCUGUUCGCCAUUUAAAGUGGUACGCGAGCUGGGUUUAGAACGUCGUGAGACAGUUCGGUCCCUAUCUGCCGUGGGCGCUGGAGAAUUGAGGGGGGCUGCUCCUAGUACGAGAGGACCGGAGUGGACGCAUCACUGGUGUUCGGGUUGUCAUGCCAAUGGCAUUGCCCGGUAGCUAAAUGCGGAAAAGAUAAGUGCUGAAAGCAUCUAAGCACGAAACUUGCCCCGAGAUGAGUUCUCCCUGAGACUUUAAGUCUCCUGAAGGAACGUUGAAGACUACGACGUUGAUAGGUCGGGUGUGUAAGCGCAGCGAUGCGUUGAGCUAACCGAUACUAAUGAACCGUGAGGCUUAACCUU
rnacentral:rRNA from 1 species